GGGAUUUUCACUAUGUACAUGGUGGGGUGGGGGGUUAAUUCCCUCUGCACCUUUCAGAGCUCAGCACAUAACCAACAACAAUGGGAGCCACAAGACAACCACCGGAAAAGCCUAUGGUUGCCAGGAGGACUUGCACAGUGGUGGCAAUGGAGCCAGGGAGUUUGGUCUGCCUUAUUCCUCGUGCUCUAAAGCUUCUGCAGUGCAGUUUUAGUGGUGGAUUUAGUCACUGCAGUGGUGCAGCUCUCUAAGGGAGAAACCAGAGGGAGAAUCUCACGGAGACAGAUGAGCAAAGUGAAACGGCAGCUGCUUUCUUAUCACUCUGCAUGUCCGUACAGGAAAUAUGGCAAAUACAGCUGUUCUGGGAAGUCCUGGCCAAACAUGGAGAGUCAGUCUUUGAGGAUACUGGGCUUCAUUUUGAAUUGUGAUGGAUUUCAAGGAGUGACUUCGAGGAUCACAACUCCAUGGACAAUGGCUGUGAAUUUAUAUCUGGGCCCACGACGCUGGGAGAACUGCCCCUUGGACGAACUACAGGCUGGCUUGGAAGGACGGCUCUUCCCCUCUUGUACCACAGAGCUGGAAAGUCGAACUGCCACCUUAUGUCCAUCACUGCUGCCCAUAAUACUGGACCCAAACGAGCUCUUUUGGUGCUAGCAGACGAAGUAAUGCUCCCAGAGACUCCUGGCCUGGGAGAUUAAUCCUGUCUGAAAAGCCUUACACUGGCCACUCAGAAAGGUGGUGGAUGCCCCAUCCCUGGAGAAAUUCAAGGUCAGGCUGGAGGGGCUCUGAGCACCCUGAUCUAACUGUAGUGUCCCUGUUUAUUGCUGGGGAGUUGGACCAGAUGGCCUUUAAAGGUCCCUCCUAACUCAAACAGUACAAUGAUUCUAUGACUUCUGACUUCAGAGCCCAGUGGGCCAAAGGCUGCUGGUGGCAGAGCAGAGGCAGCAGUCCUGGAAGA
rnacentral:lncRNA from 1 species